AAUGAACGUUGGCGGCGUGGAUUAGGCAUGCAAGUCGUGCGAGAAGUCUUUUGCUUGCAUUAGACGGAAAGCGGCGAAAGGGAGAGUAACGCGUGGAUACCUACCUCCAGGUUCGGGAUAGCUGCGGGAAACUGCGGGUAAUACCGAAUGACAUCUCCGGAUCAAAGGUGUGAUUCCGCCUGGAGACGGGUCCGCGUCCUACUUGCUUGUUGGUGGGGUAACGGCUCACCAAGGCGACGUUGGGUAUCAGGCGUGAGAGCGUGACCUGACGCACUGUGGCUGAGACAGUGCCCAGACACCUCCAGGUGGCUGCAGACGAGAAUCUUCGGCAAUGGGCGCAAGCCUGACCGAGCGACGCCGCGUGCGGGAUGAAGGCCCUGGGGUUUUAAACCGCUGUCAAUUGGGAGGAAAUCACAUGGGGCUCUCUCCAUGUGUUGACCUAUCUUCAGAGGAAGGACGGGCUAAGUUCGUGCCAGCCGCCGCCGUAACAC
rnacentral:rRNA from 1 species